GUUUGUGCCUGUUCUCAGUGGACAGAAGAAAUGAGAGGAGAGAAACAUGAAGGGGCAUAUAUAAUCAGUUAAAAAACUCAUCUUAGGUCAAGGGCUCAAGGAACUGAAAUGCAUCUUUAUAUAUAUAAGGAGUCAACAGGUACUGCUCCUGUAAACGAUGCAAUUUUGGGAGAUCCAGUGCAGAAGGCAGAAGUAAUGGCAUUUCGUCGAGCUUUUGAGGGUAUCUUCUUUUAGGAAAAGUAAUUCCCAAAAAAGGAAAUGCUAACCACCCCAUCUAAUGGGGUAUAUGUGUAAAAAGUAGAUUCAAAUAUGUAGAAAGUGUAUAGAAAUAUAUGAAUUGUGUAUUGAAAUUCUAACCCUUUUGACAUUAUAUGGUCUUUAACAAAAUGCCCAAUGGAAUCUAUCUUUCAUGCCA